UAAAUAAAAAUUACGAAAGCAAAAAAUUAUGGCGGUAUUUUAAGCUUUUCAGAGGAAUUUGCUCUUUAAUGGAUAAAACACCUAAAUCUUACUUAAAUUUGUAAAUUCAAUUUGUAUACCACUAUAAAAACAAUUAAUAACUUCAAUUGUUAAAAUUUAUUAAAUUAAGUUAUAUUAAGUCAAGGUGCAGUAAAAAUUUAAGAAUGAAGUGAAUUACAUUUCUUUUUAGAGAGAGAAAUUUAAAUAACAUUUAGGAUUUGAAAGUAAAAUUGAAAUAGAAUGUCAAUUUGAAUUAAGCUCUAAAAUAUGUAC
rnacentral:rRNA from 1 species